ACGACGAACAACAAAGAGUAAAUACAAACGAUCAAAUACGUGUAAUGGGUGAAUGUUCGCUAAGUAUAACUCUUUGUAUAUAUCAGAUCUCAAGCGAAAUCCCUGAGCAAUGUGGGAGCUGAAAUGAGCUUAGAAUUUACCGAAAUAAGGAACAGAGAAUACCAAUGAGUUAAUCUGCUCAGAGCAGUGAAUAUCUAAAUAUAGAAAAUGAAUGAAGUUUAAGCUGAUUAAAGGUAUCACUAUGAUCCAAGCGACAGAAUAAAUGGCCAAGUUAAACUGGAGUAUUCUACACUCAAAAGCCAACUCUCCCAAAAAAAGAAACGCCAAAAAAAAAUAAAUCACCCAGGAAAAUUAUACACUUUUCUAUUUAAAAAAACAUAGUUUUGAGCCAGCCUCAUCAUUGAUUUCCAUUAUGUCCCGACGGAACAAGUUGACAAUGUAUCGCUACAACUACGGCCUAGAAGCCCAUGAAGAUCUGAAACAUCACCGGUAAGAAUCGGCUAUAACGAAGCAUGUAAUAUGCUUACAGAAUAUAGGCCGAUUAUCUUGCAAUAUCGCAUGAGUAAAUCAGAAGAGAUAAAACAUAUUGGAUAAAUGUUGGGAGUAGCAAUCAUCCAUCGAACAUAUUCCCUUACGACAAAGCGUAGCAAUAAUUUGAUUAAACAAGCUUAAGUGACUCUGGCAUCUCACAAUAAUACCAAAAUCCAAAGCGUUUAUAUGAGAGAGAUAAAUUUUUAGUUUAUGAGCAAGUUUAACUGCUUAAAGCUUAACCCGUUCCAAAAAUUUUGGAUAGACGAUUAAGCGGAUGUGGGCUUCUAGAAUAAAACAUUGACCCUUUACGGAUACAGGAUUCAUUUAAGAAGUUUUUUAUCAGCGUGUUUUAAACUUUGUAAUUGUAUUGCGGAUGUUUGAAUUUUCGAGAUUAGUUAUUUAUUAUGUUUAAUAUGUUUAAUUAUGAGCACAAAAUUCACAUACAUGUAUAUUGAAUUAAACUGACAUUCAAAAAGGUUUGCUAUUAGAUGGUUCUGUUAAUGGAAAAAAUAUAAUUAGUAGGUAACCACUGACAUUGUUACUUGAGCUCUUCUUGAAAGCACUGUACCUACAUUAGUAUAUCAAAGUGUACCAAAUUAUGGUAAAUAAAAAAAAUAUACAUUCGUCCGUACUUUUUACUCUAAUGACAUUGCAUGAUGAUCAAUAAAAUCUAUUUUUUUAAGGAUUUUUUAAACCCAUUUAAACUUCAUUGUGGUAACAAAGGGCUUUAAACUAGCAACAGGAUGCAAUUCACGAUUAUAUUAUUAAUA